GGAGCAAUGGACAUAUGCUUGGAAUAACAGGCUCUUACAGCCUCUCUCAAUGAGCGUCAAAAUUCGUCAAAGCUAUAGAAAUACCAAUCGCACUGCUGAGGUCAGGGGUUCGAUUCCCCUCGGCUCCACCA
rnacentral:tRNA from 1 species